AACGAACGCUGGCGGCACGCCUAACACAUGCAAGUCGAGCGCUACCUUCGGGUGGAGCGGCGGACGGGUUAGUAACGCGUGGGAACAUACCCUUUUCUACGGAAUAGCCUCGGGAAACUGAGAGUAAUACCGUAUACGCCCCUCGGGGGAAAGAUUUAUCGGUGAAGGAUUGGCCCGCGUAAGAUUAGAUAGUUGGUGGGGUAAUGGCCUACCAAGUCGACGAUCUUUAGCUGGUUUGAGAGGAUGAUCAGCAACACUGGGACUGAGACACGGCCCAG
rnacentral:rRNA from 1 species